ACGCACGCUGGCGGCGUGCUUCACACAUGCAAGUCGAACGGAAAGGCCCUGCUUUUGUGGGGUGCUCGAGUGGCGAACGGGUGAGUAACACGUGAGUAACCUGCCCUUGACUUUGGGAUAACUUCAGGAAACUGGGGCUAAUACCGGAUAGGAGCUCCUGCUGCAUGGGGGGGGUUGGAAAGUUUCGGCGGUUGGGGAUGGACUCGCGGCUUAUCAGCUUGUUGGUGGGGUAGUGGCUUACCAAGGCUUUGACGGGUAGCCGGCCUGAGAGGGUGACCGGCCACAUUGGGACUGAGAUACGGCCCAGACUCCUACGGGAGGCAGCAGUGGGGAAUAUUGCACAAUGGGCGGAAGCCUGAUGCAGCAACGCCGCGUGCGGGAUGACGGCCUUCGGGUUGUAAACCGCUUUCGCCUGUGACGAAGCGUGAGUGACGGUAAUGGGUAAAGAAGCACCGGCUAACUACGUG
rnacentral:rRNA from 1 species